rnacentral:rRNA from 1 species
GAUGAACGCUGGCGGCGUGCCUAAUACAUGCAAGUCGAGCGAACGGACGAGAAGCUUGCUUCUCUGAUGUUAGCGGCGGACGGGUGAGUAACACGUGGAUAACCUACCUAUAAGACUGGGAUAACUUCGGGAAACCGGAGCUAACACCGGAUAAUAUUUUGAACCGCAUGGUUCAAAAGUGAAAGACGGUCCUGCUGUCACUUAUAGAUGGAUCCGCGCUGCAUUAGCUAGUUGGUAAGGUAACGGCUUACCAAGGCAACGAUGCAUAGCCGACCUGAGAGGGUGAUCGGCCACACUGGAACUGAGACACGGUCCAGACUCCUACGGGAGGCAGCAGUAGGGAAUCUUCCGCAAUGGGCGAAAGCCUGACGGAGCAACGCCGCGUGAGUGAUGAAGGUCUUCGGAUCGUAAAACUCUGUUAUUAGGGAAGAACAUAUGUGUAAGUAACUGUGCACAUCUUGACGGUACCUAAUCAGAAAGCCACGGCUAACUACGUG